rnacentral:rRNA from 1 species
GAUGAACGCUAGCUACAGGCUUAACACAUGCAAGUCGAGCGAGCGGCGGACGGGUGAGUAAUGUAUGGGGACUGCCCGAUAGAGGGGGAUAACUACUGGAAACGGUGGCUAAUACCGCAUACUGUCGGAUAACCCAUAUGGGAUUAGCUAGUAGGUAAGGUAAUGGCUUACCUAGGCGACGAUCCCUAGCUGGUCGGAGAGGAUGAUCAGCGACACGGGGACUGAGAAACGGCCCAGAGUCAUACGGAGGAAGCAGUGGGGAAGAUUGCAAAAUGGGCGAAAGCCGGAUGCAGCCAUGCCGCGUGUAUGAAGAAGGCCGUAGGGUUGUAAAGUACUUUCAGUCGGGAGGCGUUACCGACAGAAGAAGCACCGGCUAACUACGUGCCAGCAGCCGCGGUAAUAC